rnacentral:rRNA from 1 species
AGAGUUUGAUCAUGGCUCAGAUUGAACGCUGGCGGCAGGCCUAACACAUGCAAGUCGAACGGUAACAGGAAGCAGCUUGCUGCUUCGCUGACGAGUGGCGGACGGGUGAGUAAUGUCUGGGAAGCUGCCUGAUGGAGGGGGAUAACUACUGGAAACGGUAGCUAAUACCGCAUAAUGUCGCAAGACCAAAGAGGGGGACCUUCGGGCCUCUUGCCAUCGGAUGUGCCCAGAUGGGAUUAGCUUGUUGGUGGGGUAACGGCUCACCAAGGCGACGAUCCCUAGCUGGUCUGAGAGGAUGACCAGCCACACUGGAACUGAGACACGGUCCAGACUCCUACGGGAGGCAGCAGUGGGGAAUAUUGCACAAUGGGCGCAAGCCUGAUGCAGCCAUGCCGCGUGUAUGAAGAAGGCCUUCGGGUUGUAAAGUACUUUCAGCGGGGAGGAAGGGAGUAAAGUUAAUACCUUUGCUCAUUGACGUUACCCGCAGAAGAAGCACCGGCUAACUCCGUGCCAGCAGCCGCGGUAAUACGGAGGGUGCAAGCGUUAAUCGGAAUUACUGGGCGUAAAGCGCACGCAGGCGGUUUGUUAAGUCAGAUGUGAAAUCCCCGGGCUCAACCUGGGAACUGCAUCUGAUACUGGCAAGCUUGAGUCUCGUAGAGGGGGGUAGAAUUCCAGGUGUAGCGGUGAAAUGCGUAGAGAUCUGGAGGAAUACCGGUGGCGAAGGCGGCCCCCUGGACGAAGACUGACGCUCAGGUGCGAAAGCGUGGGGAGCAAACAGGAUUAGAUACCCUGGUAGUCCACGCCGUAAACGAUGUCGACUUGGAGGUUGUGCCCUUGAGGCGUGGCUUCCGGAGCUAACGCGUUAAGUCGACCGCCUGGGGAGUACGGCCGCAAGGUUAAAACUCAAAUGAAUUGACGGGGGCCCGCACAAGCGGUGGAGCAUGUGGUUUAAUUCGAUGCAACGCGAAGAACCUUACCUGGUCUUGACAUCCACGGAAGUUUUCAGAGAUGAGAAUGUGCCUUCGGGAACCGUGAGACAGGUGCUGCAUGGCUGUCGUCAGCUCGUGUUGUGAAAUGUUGGGUUAAGUCCCGCAACGAGCGCAACCCUUAUCCUUUGUUGCCAGCGGUCCGGCCGGGAACUCAAAGGAGACUGCCAGUGAUAAACUGGGGGAAGGUGGGGAUGACGUCAAGUCAUCAUGGCCCUUACGACCAGGGCUACACACGUGCUACAAUGGCGCAUACAAAGAGAAGCGACCUCGCGAGAGCAAGCGGACCUCAUAAAGUGCGUCGUAGUCCGGAUUGGAGUCUGCAACUCGACUCCAUGAAGUCGGAAUCGCUAGUAAUCGUGGAUCAGAAUGCCACGGUGAAUACGUUCCCGGGCCUUGUACACACCGCCCGUCACACCAUGGGAGUGGGUUGCAAAAGAAGUAGGUAGCUUAACCUUCGGGAGGGCGCUUACCACUUUGUGAUUCAUGACUGGGGUGAAGUCGUAACAAGGUAACCGUAGGGGAACCUGCGGUUG